AUUGAACGCUGGCGGCAGGCCUAACACAUGCAAGUCGAACGAGUGGCGGACGGGUGAGUAAUGUCUGGGAAACUGCCUGAUGGAGGGGGAUAACUAAUGGAAAAGGUAGCUAAUAACGCAUACCAUAGGAUGUGACCAGAUGGUAUUAGAUAGUAGGUGGGGUAAAGGCUAACCUAGGCGACGAUCCCUAGCUGGUCUGAGAGGAUGACCAGCCACACUUGCACUGAGACACGGUCCAGCCUCCUACGGGAGGCAGCAGUGGGGAAUAUUGCACAAUGGGCGCAAGCCUGAUGCAGCCAUGCCGCGUUUAUGAAGAAGGCCUUCGUGUUGUAAAGUACUUUCAGCGGGGAGGCGUUACCCGCAGAAGAAGCACCGGCUAACUCCGUGCCAGCAGCCGCGGUAAUUC
rnacentral:rRNA from 1 species